AGAUGAUAUUGAAGUUGAUGUUGAUGCCGAUGUCGAUGGUGUUGAUAUUGUUGUCGUACUCGUAGCUGUCGUCGUCGGUAUCGUCGUCGUCGUCGUCGUCGUCG
rnacentral:miRNA from 1 species